rnacentral:rRNA from 1 species
GACGAACGCUGGCGGCGUGCUUAACACAUGCAAGUCGAACGGAAAGGCCCUGCUUUUGUGGGGUGCUCGAGUGGCGAACGGGUGAGUAACACGUGAGUAACCUGCCCUUGACUUUGGGAUAACUUCAGGAAACUGGGGCUAAUACCGGAUUGGAGCUCCUGCUGCAUGGUGGGGGUUGGAAAGUUUCGGCGGUUGGGGAUGGACUCGCGGCUUAUCAGCUUGUUGGUGGGGUAGUGGCUUACCAAGGCUUUGACGGGUAGCCGGCCUGAGAGGGUGACCGGCCACAUUGGGACUGAGAUACGGCCCAGACUCCUACGGGAGGCAGCAGUGGGGAAUAUUGCACAAUGGGCGGAAGCCUGAUGCAGCAACGCCGCGUGCGGGAUGACGGCCUUCGGGUUGUAAACCGCUUUCGCCUGUGACGAAGCGUGAGUGACGGUAAUGGGUAAAGAAGCACCGACUAACUACGUG